rnacentral:rRNA from 1 species
GCCCCACUGCUCCACGAAUAAGCUCUUGGAAACUAGGGUGGUAAUGCUGGAUGCUCCAACUUGACGCAUGUCUUGUUGGGAAAGUGUUUAGUGGCAUGGGAUGGGGUCGCGUCCUAUCAGCUUGUAGGCGGGGUAAUGGCCCACCUAGGCUUCGACGGGUAGCCGGCCUGAGAGGGCGGACGGCCACAUUGGGACUGAGAUACGGCCCAGACUCCUACGGGAGGCAGCAGAC